GGCAACAUUAUUAGGAAUCACUCCUUUAACUUUCACUGUUAUGCAGAUGAUACGCAGUUAUAUCUAUCAAUCAAGCCCAAUGAAAUUAAUCAAUUAUCUAAAUUACAAACAUGUCUUAAGGACAUAAAAUCCUGGAUUAGCUGUAAUUUUCUGAUGUUAAACUCAGAAAAAAACGAAAUUCUUGUUCUUCUUGGCCCCAAAACCCUUAGAGACUCACUGUCUAAAGAUAUAGUUACUCUAGAUGGCAUUACCUUGGCCUCUAGCACCACUGUCAGGAAUCUUGGUGUUAUCUUUGAUCAGGAUUUGUCAUUUAACUCCCACAUGAAGCAGACCUCUAGGACUGCCUUCUUUCAUUUAUGUAAUAUUAGAAAAAUUAGACACAUACUAUCACAGACAGAUGCAGAAAAACUAAUCCAUGCAUUUGUUACUUCUAGGCUGGAUUACUGCAACUCUUUAUUAUCAGGUUGCCCCAAUAAGUCCAUUAAAACGCUCCAAUUAAUUCAGAACGCUGCAGUACUGACAGGAAUUACAAAAAGAGAUCACAUCUCUCCUGUACUAGCUUCUCUGCACUGGCUCCCUGUAAAAUGUAGAAUAGAAUUUAAAAUCCUCCUCCUCACCUAUAAAGCUCUUCAUGGUCAGGCCCCUUCAUAUCUUAAAGAGCUCAUAGUACCCUAUUACCCCACUAGAACACUACGUUCUCUGAAUGCUGGGCUACUUGUGGUUCCUAUAGUCUCUAAAAGUAGAACAGGAGCCAGAGCCUUCAGUUACCAAGCUCCUCUCCUGUGGAACCAGCUUCCAGUUGUGGUUCGGGAGGCAGACACCCUCUCCACAUUUAAGAGUAGGCUUAAGACAUUCCUCUUUGAUAAAGCUUAUAGUUAGGGCUGGAUCAGGUGAGUCCUGAACCAUCUCUUAGUUAUGCUGCUAUAGGCCUAGACUAUCGGGGGAUUUCCCAUGAUGCACUGAGCUCCUCUCUUCCGCUUUCUGCACUCAUUCAUGUCCCAUUGAUGCAUGUUACUAACUUCACUUCUUCCCCGGAGUUCUUGUGCUUUCUCGUCUCGCAGGUUCUCAUGGAUCCUGGUGGAGCCUCCUGCCAUGGUCCUGCUUGACUGCCAUUGCUAAUAUCACUGAUAUUGUGAAUUUCCCCUUGGGGAUGAAUAAAGUAUCUAUCUAAUCUAAUCUAAUCUAAUCUAUUUUUUGUUAUUAUUACUAGUAUUAUUACUACAGAUACUAUUAUUACUAUAAUCACUGCUCAUUGUCCCCCAUCGUUGUCGUCUGUCUCCCUCCAACUGGUCGGGGCAGACGACCACCUACCUAGAGCAGAAGGAUCGGUCCUAGGUUUCUGGCUCUUAAAAGGAACAUUUUCCUUGCUGCUGUCGCCAAGUGCUUGCUCAUGGUGGUACUGUUGGGUCUCUGUAAAUGUUAUAAGGAGUUCAGUUUUGUAGGCUUAAGACAUUCCUCUUUGAUAAAGCUUAUAGUUAGGGCUGGAUCAGGUGAGUCCUGAACCAUCCCUUAGUUAUGCUGCUAUAGGCCUAGACUAUUGGGGGAUUUCCCAUGGUGCACUGAGCUCCUCCCUUCCUCUCUCUUUCUGCACUCAUUCAUGUUCCAUUAAUGCAUGUUACUAACUUCACUUCUUCCCCGGAGUUCUUGUGCUUUCUCGUCUCGCAGGUUCUUGUCGAUCCUGGUGGAGCCUCCUGCCAUGGUCCUGCUACAUUGCCAUUGCCAAUACUGUUGUUGCUGUGCACCUGUCUGUUUGUCUCUCGCUCUCUCUCUCUCUGCUCUCUCUCUCUCUCUCUCUCUCUCUCUCUCUCUCUCUCUCACCCCAACUGGUCGAGACAGACGACCACCCACCUAGAGCCGGAGGAUCUGUCCUAGGUUUCUGCCUUUUAACAGGCAGUUUUUCCUUGCCCUUGUCGCCAAGUGCUUGCUCAUGGUGGUACUGUUGGGUCUCUGUAAAUAAUGUUUAAAGAGUUCGGUCUAGACCUGCUCUAUUUGAAAAGUGUCCUGAGAUAACUUCUGUUAUGAAUUGGCGCUAUACAAAUAAAAUUGAAUUGAAAAA